rnacentral:rRNA from 1 species
GACGAACGCUGGCGGCGUGCUUAACACAUGCAAGUCGAACGGAAAGGCCCUGCUUUUGUGGGGUGCUCGAGUGGCGAACGGGUGAGUAACACGUGAGUAACCUGCCCUUGACUUUGGGAUAACUUCAGGAAACUGGGGCUAAUACAGACUAGGAGCUCCUGCUGCAUGGUGGGGGUUGGAAAGUUUCGGCGGUUGGGGAUGGACUCGCGGCUAAUGAGCUUGUUGGUGGGGUGGUGGCUUACCAAGGCUUUGACGGGUGGCCGGCCUGGGAGGGUGACCGGCCACAUUGGGACUGAGAUACGGCCCAGACUCCUACGGGAGGCAGCAGUGGGGAAUAUUGCACAAUGGGCGGAAGCCUGAUGCAGCAACGCCGCGUGCGGGAUGACGGCCUUCGGGUUGUAAACCGCUUUCGCCUGUGACGAAGCGUGAGUGACGGUAAUGGGUAAAGAAGCACCGGCUAACUACGUG